UACGUAGGUGGCGAGCGUUGUCCGGAUUUACUGGGCGUAAAGAGCGCGCAGGCGGUCGUUCAAGUCGCGUGUGAAAGCCCCCGGCUCAACUGGGGAGGGUCACGCGAUACUGAUCGACUCGAAGGCAGGAGAGGGUAGUGGAAUUCCCGGUGUAGUGGUGAAAUGCGCAGAUAUCAGGAGGAACACCGGUGGCGAAGGCGGUUCUCUGGGCCUUACCUGACGCUGAGGAGCGAAAGCGUGGGGAGCGAACAGG
rnacentral:rRNA from 1 species